CCUACGGGGGACAGCAGUGGGGAAUAUUGCACAAUGGGGGGAACCCUGAUGCAGCGACGCCGCGUGGGUGAAGGAGUACUUCGGUACGUAAAGCCCUAUCAGCAGGAAAGAAAAUGACGGUACCUGAAUAAGAAGCCCCGGCUAACGACGUGCCAGCAGCCGCGGUAAUACGGAGGGGGCAAGCGUUAGCCGGAUUGACUGGGUGUAACGGGAGCGUAGACGGCAGGGCAAGUCCGGAGUGAAAGCCCGGGGCUCCACCCUGGGACUGCUCUUGAAACGGUCAAGCUGGAGUGCGGGCGGGGCAGGCGGAAUUCCUGGUGUAGCGGUGCACUGCGUCGUUAUCAGGAGGCACCCCGGCGGCGCAGGCGGCCUGCUGGACCGUACCUGACGUUGCGGCUCGACCGCGUGGGGAGCAAACAGGAUUAGAUACCCGAGUAGUC
rnacentral:rRNA from 1 species